rnacentral:piRNA from 1 species
UAUAAACCACCAUUUUCAUCAUCGAUUGC